CCAAAAUGAAAGAAUAUUUCGGUGGCAUUAUAAACGCAAUACCGAUCGCUCUGCCUCAAGCUCGGUGACAUCUAUACGGAGCAAUCACUCACAACGUGCUGAGGGUUCAACAGUAGUGGGACAGACGAUGAUGACAUCAAAAACUCCAAUCAAACGAAAAUACAACAAUCUGGAUGACUCCAAAAAUGGGGAACUAAAGCCCCGGAGGAAUUGGAGGCGCUUCGAACACUAGAGGAACUACUGAUGGAGCAGGAAGGAGGGAUCCAGGACGGCACUUGAUUUAUUUUUGGUACAACUUAACGCGAAUGAUUGGAAUAUAAGACUGACCCAAACCAUCUCCCAAAGUCAAAUGACAUUUUUGGAUAUCAACAUCAAGACGACCACGGAUGGCACUCUAUCGACGGCAAUUCAUCGCAAGGAUACUGCUGUAAACGCUU